CGGAUUGAAGGCUGAAAUUCGCCUUCAUGAAGCUGGAAUUGCUAGUAAUGGCAGGUCAGCAUACUGCCGUGAAUACGUUCCCGGGCCUUGUACACACCGCCCGUCACACCAUGAGAGUUGGAAAUACCCGAAGCCUGUGAGCUAACAGUAAUGAGGCAGCAGUCGAAGGUAGAGCCAAUGAUUGGGGUGAAGUCGUAACAAGGUACC
rnacentral:rRNA from 1 species